CGAGCGCCAUUUUGAUUGCGAAGUGAAACAUUAAAUGGAAUUGAUGAGGUGAUUGAAGAGUGAAAUCGUUUUGCUGCCAAUUAACUUAGAUCAUCAAUUGCAGAGAUGGCCGAUGAUGUGACAGUGGAUCCUACGUUGCUGAAAAAGGUGAUAGAGAUAGAGAUGUCCGACGAGCUAUCGUCGGUACUGGCCAGUUCAUCAAAGGUUAAAGAGCCGAUGGGACUAAAGGCACCACAGAAAGAAAUGUCUGGUUCAUCCCAGGUUUGUGUUUGUUAAAUAUUUCAUAUAAUUUUAAUCAUAGAUAUAUUAAGUGUGUAUUCUUUGACAGCAAUAUAGACAUAUGAAGACAUGACACACUUAUACGGGUUGGGUUAGAAGGUAUACAUGUGGUUGGAUCACCACCACCAUUCAUGCAGGAGCUGUAAACCAGACUAUACAUUUGAAUAAGGAGAAUAUGAUCACAGUAUAAGUGCAAUAUUUGAUUAAUUGAUAUUGAAAUACUAAAUAUAAGUAAACCA